AAUACAUGCAAGUCGAGCGAACAGAUAAGGAGCUUGCUCCUUUGACGUUAGCGGCGGACGGGUGAGUAACACGUGGGUAACCUACCUAUAAGACUGGGAUAACUUCGGGAAACCGGAGCUAAUACCGGAUAACAUUUGGAACCGCAUGGUUCUAAAGUGAAAGAUGGUUUUGCUAUCACUUAUAGAUGGACCCGCGCCGUAUUAGCUAGUUGGUAAGGUAACGGCUUACCAAGGCGACGAUACGUAGCCGACCUGAGAGGGUGAUCGGCCACACUGGAACUGAGACACGGUCCAGACUCCUACGGGAGGCAGCAGUAGGGAAUCUUCCGCAAUGGGCGAAAGCCUGACGGAGCAACGCCGCGUGAGUGAUGAAGGGUUUCGGCUCGUAAAACUCUGUUAUUAGGGAAGAACAAAUGUGUAAGUAACUGUGCACGUCUUGACGGUACCUAAUCAGAAAGCCACGGCUAACUACGUGCCAGCAGCCGCGGUAAUACGUAGGUGGCAAGCGUUAUCCGGAAUUAUUGGGCGUAAAGCGCGCGUAGGCGGUUUCUUAAGUCUGAUGUGAAAGCCCACGGCUCAACCGUGGAGGGUCAUUGGAAACUGGGAAACUUGAGUGCAGAAGAGGAAAGUGGAAUUCCAUGUGUAGCGGUGAAAUGCGCAGAGAUAUGGAGGAACACCAGUGGCGAAGGCGACUUUCUGGUCUGUAACUGACGCUGAUGUGCGAAAGCGUGGGGAUCAAACAGGAUUAGAUACCCUGGUAGUCCACGCCGUAAACGAUGAGUGCUAAGUGUUAGGGGGUUUCCGCCCCUUAGUGCUGCAGCUAACGCAUUAAGCACUCCGCCUGGGGAGUACGACCGCAAGGUUGAAACUCAAAGGAAUUGACGGGGACCCGCACAAGCGGUGGAGCAUGUGGUUUAAUUCGAAGCAACGCGAAGAACCUUACCAAAUCUUGACAUCCUUUGAAAACUCUAGAGAUAGAGCUUUCCCCUUCGGGGGACAAAGUGACAGGUGGUGCAUGGUUGUCGUCAGCUCGUGUCGUGAGAUGUUGGGUUAAGUCCCGCAACGAGCGCAACCCUUAAGCUUAGUUGCCAUCAUUAAGUUGGGCACUCUAGGUUGACUGCCGGUGACAAACCGGAGGAAGGUGGGGAUGACGUCAAAUCAUCAUGCCCCUUAUGAUUUGGGCUACACACGUGCUACAAUGGACAAUACAAAGGGCAGCUAAACCGCGAGGUCAUGCAAAUCCCAUAAAGUUGUUCUCAGUUCGGAUUGUAGUCUGCAACUCGACUACAUGAAGCUGGAAUCGCUAGUAAUCGUAGAUCAGCAUGCUACGGUGAAUACGUUCCCGGGUCUUGUACACACCGCCCGUCACACCACGAGAGUUUGUAACACCCGAAGCCGGUGGAGUAACCAUUUAUGGAGCUAGCCGU
rnacentral:rRNA from 1 species